AAUACGUUCUCGGGCCUUGUACACACCGCCCGUCACACCACCCGAGUUGGUUUUUCCUAAAGCAGGUUACUCGAACCGCAAGGGCGAGGCUUGUAAAGGAGGAAUUGGUAAGGGGGGUG
rnacentral:rRNA from 1 species